rnacentral:lncRNA from 1 species
CACCACCAUCCCGCGAAGCAUUUCAUUUCGGUUUGGUCGGGGUGACGGUUUGACUACUUCUAGACGGUUGGUCGGUUUCCCGCCGGGGCGGGGUCUUUCCCAACAGCAGCGCCAGGGGAGGAGGUGGUCUUGCUGCCCUAGCUCCUCGAUAAGGAGAACUCACUCGCACACACACACAGACAGACACACACGCAGACACACGCGCACACAUUGGCUUUCGGGAGCCCUACAGGAUUUAAAAAGGGCCAGGCGGAUGACCUCCGAGGAAAUCCGUCUGUCCGCAAGUGGUUCCAUCCAUCAUCCGCGGGCGGGGGCCCGCCCAGGGUGAGGGUGAGGGUGAGACAACUCACACAGAAAGGGCGCAAGUCUACCGCCGGCACCUCUCCUCCCUCCUUCAUCACACGCACACACACAGAUGCCGUCAGGCCUUCCGUCCAACAAGAAGUGUCUACCCUGCACCUCAUGAACAGCAUCACCACCACCACCACCACCACCACCACCACUAACAAAACCGGCGCAAGGCCGCAAAAUCCCUAGAGAGAAUCCCCAUCCAUCUCCACUCCACUGAAUCCAGUUCCAACCAGCCGGUUGAAUUCCCAACCGUCGUGCUAACUAACUAGCCAUCUGGCUGUCUAGACUCUGUACCGGGCUCCCCGCAUCACCCAUCGAAGUCCGAGCGCCAGUACUGCGAUGUGCCGGGGUACAUGAUGUCUGCGUUUGGUGGAAAAAAGGGGGGAAGGGGGAGAGGUGGGAAAGAGAGAACGGGGAGGGAAAGACGAACCACGAACGAGCAACCAGGUGAUGCCAAGGAUAUGCAGACUGAUACGCCAGAAGAAAGGGUAUAUGCGUGAAAUCGAAGAGGUGCAGCUGGGUUAUGGAGAGGAGAGGUGGUCCAAACCCCGGGGCUUGGCAGUUGCGUGUUGUGAGCUGGACACACGCAAAUGCUGAUGGUGGUAACGGUAACGGUAACAGUAGCGCUAACGGUAAUAACGAAAAAUACCCCUACAAUCCCAAAGGCCGGCUCUACACAUCACUGGCCGGCUCUGCUUCGCAUCGUCGCCAUGCACAUGCAAAACAAUGUGUUUCAGUGUAAUGCAAACAACCUCUUCGGGGGAUGGUGGUCUUGAUAACCAAAAAGGCAACAGGCCCCCAGGCCGCCAGGGCGCCCUUCAGGUUCCAGCUGCGCCGUGCGGCAGCGUCGUGUCCCUCCGAAACCACCACGAGCCCCCCCCUCCUUCCCACGCACCCGCUAGCCCAACGAAGCACCCGCGCGAGACGCUCAUGUCGUGACGUUUCAGGACACAGCUGGUGUGGUGUUGGUGUUGGGGUUGCUGCCACUUCCUGC